UUAAAUUUUGUAUAUUUAUCUUGGGCCUUAAUUAACCUGAACUUGAAGUUCCCGGUUCAAUUUCAAGCUCAAGUUAUUAGGAAUUAUUAGACAAGGCCUUAUAUUGUACUUUGUCUUUUAAAACAUUAUGCUGAUUUGAGUUGUUGUGUAAAUAUGUAGUGACUGUUUUUGCAUUUGUUUGUGCUGUUUUUUUGCGAGUGAUUUGCUAUUGACUAACCGGAUUCAACUUCAAGCUAGAGUUAUUUAUGUAAACUUUUUUGUUAGUACUUGUUAUGUUGUUUUUUAUUUAUUAAUACAUGAAUUUAAUGUUUGAGUCACGAGGUAGUUACUGCUUUGCAUUUUUUUUUUUUUCGAGGACUAAUACUACUUGUGACUAAUCGGGAUUACUUUCAGGCUCAAGUUAUUAGGGUAUUAGUAGUUUCAUGGCCGGUAAAACUGUUGUAACUUUGUACUUUUUCAAAUUAUGCUUAAUUGAAUUUUUGAUAAUGACUGUGACUAUUUUCAUUUAUUUUAGUUAGUAGAGGACUAUUGCUAUUGACUAUACGGACUCAUGGGUGUCACACCGUCUGUAAUAGCGAUCCUAGGCCUCAAUAGACGCAAAUCAUAUCUCCAUCACGCCUUUGAAUGUUUUGUGGUACGUAACUGUGGCUUUAAAUUUUUGUAUUUUUAUCUGGGCCAUAAUUAACCUAACUUGGAAAAGUUCCCCGGGUUUCAAUUUCAAAGCUCAGUUCCUUAGACUUAUUAGACAACAGGCCCUUAUUAUGUGGUACUUUGUCCUUUUAAAUUAUGGCUGAUUUGAGUUUUUGUGUAAGAUUUUGUGACUUGUUUUGCAUUUUGUUUCUGUUUUGCAAGGACUAUUGCUAAUUGAUUACCGGAUUUCAACUUCAAGCUCUGAGUUAUUAGAGGUCCUUUUGUAUAGUACUUUAAUGUUGUUUUUUAGUUUGCAUGAUUUUUAAUGUUGAGUCAACGAGAUAGUGACUGCUUUUUGCAUUUUACUUUUUGUAUUUGCGAGGACAAUACUGUUGACAUCGGGUUUAGUUUCAAAGCAUCAAGUUAUUAGUGUAUUAGUAUUUUAUGGGCCGUCCUGUUUACUUUGCUCUUUUUCAAUAUGCCUCAUUUUGAAUUUUUUUUUGUAUGACUUUUGUGACUAUUUUGCAUUUAUUUUGUUUUUAGUGGGACUAAUCUUUUGACUAUCGAGUUUAAUUUCAAGCUCAAGUUAUUAGGGUAUUAGUAGUUAUGGCCGUAUGUUGUACUUUGUCUUUUUCAAAUUAAUGCUAAUUUAAUUUUUGAGUAUGAGUUUGUGACUAUUUUGCAUUUAAUUUGUUUUAAGUGAGGACUAUUUGCUUUAUUGACUAUGGACUCAAGUGGGUGUACGUGCUUAAAAAAUAGCGAUGCCUAGGCCCAAGUACUCCCUCAAUCCAAUCUUCUCCUGCCCGCGCCUUUGAAUGUUGUCGCCUACGUCCUUAUGACCCUGUGAGCCUCUGUAAUUUUGUAAAAAAAAAUACUCUUUUUAUCUUCCGGAUACGGGGGCCCUCAUAUUACCACAUGAACUGAAGUUUUCCCUCCCCUCCCCGGGUUUCAAUUUCACAAGCUCAAGUGUAAUGAGGUAUUAUUAGACAAGGCCUGUAUGUUGUACUUUGUCUUUUUUAUUAAAAUUAAAUGCUGAUUUUUGGUUUUUUUGUGUAAUAUAUUAGUGACUGUGUUUCAUUUGUUCUGUUUUGCGAGGACAUUGCUAUUGACUACCGAAUUAAAAACUUCAAGCUCGGUUAUUUAGGUACUUUUUGUUGUACUUUAUGUUUUUUUUUUAUGUUAUAUACAAUGAUUUAAUGUUUGCGUUACGCGUAGUGACUGCUUUGCAUUUUUUUUGUUUUGGGCGAGGACUAAUACUGUUGACUAUCGGCUCCAAUUGGGUGUACCGUGGUAAUACGAUGCCUAGGCCCCAAGUAAGCUCAAAUCCAUAUCUUCCACGCGCUUUUUUUUGAAUUUUUGUUGUACGUAACUUUCUGCUUUCACAUUUUUGUAUAUUUAUCUUGGGCCAUAAUUAACCUGAACUUGAAGUUCCCCGGGUUCAAUUUCAAGCUCAAGUUAAUUAGGAAUUAUUAGACAAGGCCUUAUGUGGUACUUUGUCCUUUUAAAAUUAUGCUGAUUUGAGUUUUUGUGUAAGAUGUUGUGACUGUUUUGCAUUUGUUCUGUUUUGCAAGGACUAUUGCUAUUGAUUACCGGAUUCAACUUCAAGCUCGAGUUAUUUAGGUACCUUUUGUUAGUACUUUAUGUUGUUUUUUAUUUAUAGCAUGAUUUUAAUGUUUGAGUAACGAGUAGUGACUGCUUUGCAUUUUUUUUGUUUUGCGAGGACUAAUACUGUUGACUAU
rnacentral:lncRNA from 1 species